rnacentral:rRNA from 1 species
UACGGAGGGUGCAAGCGUUAUCCGGAUUUAUUGGGUUUAAAGGGUGCGUAGGCGGCUUUAUAAGUCGGUGGUUAAAGGUAGCCGCUUAACGGUUUUACAUGCCAUCGAUACUGUAGAGCUUGAGUGAUUUGGAGGUAGCUAGAAUUCCCUGUGUAGCGGUGAAAUGCAUAGAUACGGGGAGGAAUACCGAUUGCGAAGGCAUGUUACUACGAAUUAACUGACGCUGAGGCACGAAAGCGUGGGGAUCAAACAGG